CGGCGACGGUGGCGCGCAUCGAUUGCGGACGCACGCUCUCGGCGCGCGCCAGCGCGGAAACCGUGGCGGGACCGUCGCGUUCGAGGCGCAGCAGCACCGA
rnacentral:tRNA from 1 species